AGCUCCAAUAGCGUAUAUUAAAGUUGUUGCAGUUAAAAAGCUCGUAGUUGGAUUUGUGGUUGUCUCGAGGGGCCCGGCAUUCGUGCUGGUGCUUUUUCGAGUCGCCAUCCUUGGGUGGAAUCUGUGUGGCAUUAGGUUGUCGUGCAGGGGAUGCCCAUCGUUUACUGUGAAAAAAUUAGAGUGUUCAAAGCAGGCUUAUGCCGUUGAAUAUAUUAGCAUGGAAUAAUAAGAUAGGACCUUGGUACUAUUUUGUUGGUUUGCGCACCAAGGUAAUGAUUAAUAGGGACAGUUGGGGGUAUUCGUAUUCCAUUGUCAGAGGUGAAAUUCUUGGAUUUUUGGAAGACGAACUACUGCGAAAGCAUUUACCAAGGAUGUUUUCAUUAAUCAAGAACGAAAGUAG
rnacentral:rRNA from 1 species